rnacentral:rRNA from 1 species
UACAGAGGGGGCAAGCGUUGUUCGGAAUUACUGGGCGUAAAGGGCGCGUAGGCGGCCUUCUAAGUCGAACGUGAAAUCCCUGGGCUCAACCCAGGAACUGCGUCCGAUACUGGAAGGCUUGAAUCCGGGAGAGGGAUGCGGAAUUCCAGGUGUAGCGGUGAAAUGCGUAGAUAUCUGGAGGAACACCGGUGGCGAAGGCGGCGUCCUGGACCAACACUGACACUGAUGAGCGAAAGCCAGGGGAGCAAACGGG